rnacentral:rRNA from 1 species
GACGAAGGGGGCGAGCGUUACCCGGAAUGACUGGGCGUAAAGGGUCCGUAGGUAGUAUUUUUUGUUAAAGGUGAAAGAUGAAAGCUUAACUUUUUUUAAGCCUUUAAAACGUUUAUACUUUGAGUUUGAAGGAGGAUAGCAGAAUUUCACAUGGAGGGGUGAUAUCCUUAGAGAUGUGAAGGAAUACCAGAGGCGAAGGCGGCUAUCUAGUUCAAUACUGACACUGAGGGACGAAAGCAUGGGGAGCAAACAGG